rnacentral:rRNA from 1 species
GGUUUGAUCAUGGCUCGUGAUUGAACGCUGGCGGGUGCUUUACACAUGCAAGUCGAACGGCAGCACGGACUUCGGUCUGGUGGCGAGUGGCGAACGGGUGAGUAAUGUAUCGGAACGUGCCUAGUAGCGGGGGAUAACUACGCGAAAGCGUAGCUAAUACCGCAUACGGCCCUUCGGGGAAAGCGGGGGGACCUUCGGGCCUCGCACUAUUAGAGCGGCCGAUAUCGGAUUAGCUAGUUGGUGGGUAACGGCUCACCAAGGCGACGAUCCGUAGCUGGUUUGAGGACGACCAGCCACACUGGGACUGGGAGAUACGCCCAGACUCCUACGGGAGGCAGCAGUGGGGAAUUUUUGGACAAUGGGGGAAACCCCGAUCCAGCCAUCCCGCGUGUGCGAUGAAGGCCUUCGGGUCGUAAAGCACUUUUGGCAGGGAAAGAAACGGCACGGGAUAAUACCCCGUGCAACUGACGGUACCUGCAGAAUAAGCACCGGCUAACUACGUGCCAGCAGCCGCGGUAAUGUGUAGGGUGCAAGCGUUAAUCGGAAUUACUGGGCGUAAAGCGUGCGCAGGCGGUUCGGAAAGAAAGAUGUGAAAUCCCAGAGCUUAACUUUGGAACUGCAUUUUUAACUACCGAGCUAGGCGGUAAGUCAGAGGGAGGUGGAAUUCCGCGUGUAGCAGUGAAAUGCGUAGAUAUGCGGAGGAACACCGAUGGCGAAGGCAGCCUCCUGGGAUAACACUGACGCUCAUGCACGAAAGCGUGGGGAGCAAACAGGACUAGAUACCCUGGUAGUCCACGCCCUAAACGAUGUCAACUAGCUGUUGGGGCCUUCGGGCCUGGUAGCGCGCAGCUAACGCGUGAAGUUGACCGCCUGGGGAGUGCCGGUCGCAAGAUUAAAACUCAAAGGAAUUGACGGGGACCCGCACAAGCGGUGGAUGAUGUGGAUGAAUUGAUGCAACGCGAAAAACCUUACCUACCCUUGACAUGUCUGAAUCCCUCAAGAGAUUUGGGAGUGCUCGCAAGAGAACCGAACACAGGUGCUGCAUGGCUGUCGUCAGCUCGUGUCGAGAUGUUGGGUUAAGUCUCGCAACGAGCGCAACCCUUGUCAUUAUUGCUACGAAAGGGCACUCUAUCGAGACUGCCGGUGACAAACCGGAGGAAGGUGGGGAUGACGUCAAGUCCUCAUGGCUCCUAUGGGUAGGGCUUCACACGUCAUACAAUGGUCGACAGAGGGUCGCCAACCCGCGAGGGGGGAGCCAAUCCCAGAAACCCGAUCGUAGUCCGGAUCGCAGUCUGCAACUCGACUGCGUGAAGUCGGAAUCGCUAGUAAUCGCGGAUCAGCAUGUCGCGGUGAAUACGUUCCCGGGUCUUGUACACACCGCCCGUCACACCAUGGGAGUGGGUUUUACCAGAAGUAGUUAGCCUAACCGUAAGGAGGGCGAUUGCCACGUAGGAUCUACGACUGGGGUGAAUGUAACAAGGUAA